CCCAGACAGAAGACCCUAGUCUAAGAAGAAGCUGUGCUUGCCUAUCAUGGCUUGGACUCCUCUUGUCUUUAUUCUUCUAUCUUACUGUACAGGUUCUUUUUCUGAAUCUAUACUUACGCAGCCACCCUCCAUCUCUGCACCGCUGGGAACAACAGUCAGACUUACUUGCUCCUUGCAGAGUGGCAUCAGCAUAGUCAGGAAAGCAAUUCACUGGUACCAGCAGAUGCAGGGGAGCCCUCCUCGUUUUUUCCUGCGCUACUACUCAGACUCAAGCAAGAACCUUGGGCCUGGAGUCACCAAUAGUGUCUCUGGAUCCAAAGAUACCUCCAAAAAUGCUGCAGAGUUGCACAUCUCUCAGCUACAAGAAGAGGAUGAGGCUGACUAUUACUGUGCCAUCUGGGAAAGUAAUGCAUCUCACAGUGAUACAAGCAGAUGA